rnacentral:rRNA from 1 species
UGGGGAAUAUUGCACAAUGGGGGAAACCCUGAUGCAGCGACGCCGCGUGGAGGAAGAAGGUCUUCGGAUUGUAAACUCCUGUCCCAGGGGACGAUAAUGACGGUACCCUGGGAGGAAGCACCGGCUAACUACGUGCC